CUUGAAAACAAGCCGAAUCUCCACAUGGAGUACGGGGGAUCUUAUUAUAGGGGUGAAUCUUUUUUAUAAAGUAGGGGACCUCAACCCGAACCCGUCAACUAACCUCGGAGGCAAAAGAGGAGGAAAAA
rnacentral:sRNA from 2 species